UGCCAGCCGCCGCGGUAACACGGGGGGCGCAAGCGUUAUACGGAAUUAUUGGGCGUAAAGGGCGCGCAGGCGGUCUUGUCCGUCAGGUGUGAAAGCUCGGGGCUCAACCCCGGAAGUGCACUUGAAACAGCAAGACUUGAAUACGGUAGAGGAGAGAGGAAUUCCUGGUGUAGAGGUGAAAUUCGUAGAUAUCAGGAGGAACACCGAUGGCGAAGGCAGCUUACUAAGCCAUUAUUGACGCUGAGGCACGAAAGCGUGGGGAGCGAACAGGAUUAGAUA
rnacentral:rRNA from 1 species